GCAUUGUAUUGAUCAAAAUAAUACAGAAAAAAAUAGUAAACAUUAAUACCUUUAUUAAAUAUUAUUACAAGUUCUCAUAUUUUCUUCAUAUAAAAGAUUUCAGAGUAACAGGUUAAUUUAAGAAAAUUGCAGUUUGUAAGCUUACAUUCUUUCUUAUCUUGACUGUCUAGAAAAUGAGUUGAAAAGGUGUAAAUUAACACUAUGCAACGAAAUUUUAUCCUGUUUCCUAACUGAUUUAUUCAUAGUCUUGUUGAAUGAAUAUUGUAAAUAUUCAAAUUAUGUGCAAAGGGGAAAAUUACCAACAUUUCCUUUGUAAGAAUGUUAAAAUGCUAUGCACCCACAAUCAAUGACAAAGCUCUUUACAUUUUACUAUCAAAAGUUGAAAUCAUUUAAACAACAAAAUUGCUUCCAAAGUAAGUACAGAUAAUCCAUGGCCUCAGGGUAUUUAAAAAGAAGCGUCGGAAGGAAAAGACGCGUGACGCCUUUCCUACGAGGUCCCUAAACUAUUCUAGACCAUCUAAAUAUUAGUAUUCAUUAUUUGUACGUAUUUGCGGAAAAGUUACUUAAUUGAAUUUUUACGUACAGAGAUCCUUUUAAUUAAAGGUUGAUUUUUUCUUCGGACCUAAUUAUAGACACAAAAAAAGUAAAAGAAGCUUCUUGUACCAAAACUUAUAGACUAUAAUUUCCCAAAACAGCGACGAAAAGCAGAGAUAAUUACGGUACCUCUGGGACUCUUAUCGCUUCGUCCAACCAAACCAUUCGAAAGACAUGCAGCCCUAUUAAUCCAGCGUCUAUGAGUCACAUUUAUGCGGAUGAAAGGUUUAAGAUAAUCUACUGUGCUAAUCCGAAAGUAGCUUGCUCAACGUGGAAAGCAACUCUGUUAUCUUUACACUUAAAUGAAACUGACUUAAGUAAUGUUGAUGUUCAUAAUCCGUCCGUGUUGAAACGGUUUGGAAUAAUUUCGUUCAAAUAUCUAACUGAAGAGGACAUUAAUGAAAAGUUAAAGACUUAUUUUAAAUUCAUGUUCAGUCGUCACCCCUUUGAACGUCUUGUAUCAGCCUACAUUGAUAAAUUUACAAAAUACAAUCGUUACACAAUAACCUUUAGAAGACGAUAUGGACGUCGAAUACAAAGAAUGUAUAGGAAAAAGAAGAGACCCUCUGGAAAUGGAGUAACUUUCUCCGAAUUUGUAAGAUUUCUAACGGAUACCGACGCGAAAGUAUUUAGUUACAAUCCUCAUUGGGCUUCUCAAGUUCAUCUUUGCCAACCUUGCCUAGUUUCUUAUGAUUUCAUAGGUGAAUGGAGAAAUUUUAUUCAAGACUCGAAAUUCGUCACAAAAUUACUAGAGAAACUAGUUGGAAGAAAUGUAUCUUUGGUUGCACGUCACGUGUCAGAAAAACGCCUGAGUCCAACGAGCGCAAAAGAUUACUACAGAACUAUAAAAAGGAAAAUAUUAUCAAAUUUGCAAAAACUUUAUAAAAAUGAUUUACAAACAUUUAAUUAUACAGCAGAUGAAUACUUUGCUAGGAAAAUCUAACAAGGAAAAGCUACACAAUCAUACAAUGUAAUAUAAAUAUACAUCCUCUUUUUGGUAUGAUAUUCAGUGUAUAUACUGUAUAUGUGCGUGUGUCUGUCUGUGUGUGUGUGUAAGAACUAUAUCCCGAUACACUGUAUAUAUACAGUAUAUAUAUUUAUAGUAUAUUUAUAAAAAUGCAUUUAUAUAAAUGGAAAUUUGUCUUUGUUACUUUGGUUCUAUUUGUAAUAACAUGGGUGCGAUUUCUUUAUGGAGGUUUAUUAGUGAAGGAAAUCUUUUUGGUUGUUUUGUAAACAACAUUGUUAAACAUGCUCUAUCUACCAUUCUCUUUUUUAAAAUAAAUACUAAUCCUUUUAAAGAGUUUAAUCUUCUUUAAAAACUGGGUUACAACAAAAAAUAUGAGGAUAAGAAGAGAUCUGGAAUGUUCGUAUAAAUGUGAAAAUAUAAUGGCAAAAUCUAGAGAUGGAAUGGGAAAAGAGAAUUGAGUGAGAUAGAAUAGCCAUGCACGGAUAUUUUUAUACUUACUACUAAACAAGAUGUUAACUAUUUUGGACGUAGUAAAAAUAGAAAGGGAAGGAUAAAAGAGCUAAGAGUAAAAAAGACGAAAAAUACAGUUCAUUUAAAUAAUCUAAUCGGAAGAACUAAUAUAAUUUAUAAAGGAAAAGACAAUGGUAACAAAGUAUCUUUAUAAUACAAAAUGUCUGUAUUCAAUGAUGGAAUCAAGUUGGAAUUUUAUACUGUAAUUAUAUACAUGAUCUCUUACUUUUGACUAAGAUAGGCCUAUAUUUGUAUGAACUUUCUAAGCUUUAAUGUCUAAUAAUGACUGUAAUUGUUCGAAAAGAGGAAUAAUAAAAAAAAU
rnacentral:misc_RNA from 1 species